rnacentral:misc_RNA from 1 species
UCGUGCGGGGAGGAUGUAUCGCUGUGGCUGCUGUUGUCCUCACCACGUGGCUCACCCCCUCAUCACCUCCUUUUCGUGAACUUUUAUAAUGCCUCACCGUCGCUUGGUCUAAUAUCUACCGAGAUGAUUGAUUGAUUUUUUGUGUGGAAAACAAGGGCCGCCAUGACCAACGCAGAUGAGACAAAUUUUACCGUGUGUACUCGGAAGGAUUUCUAGGCUAACAACCUGUAAUUAGUUGUGUCAUCUCUUUAACUGUUUCACGAUACGAAUAUUUUCACCACUGAUCGAUACAGCGAAGGUUAAAUGGAGUGUCGUUCCAUAUUAAAUUUAUCACUAUUAACGAGGGAGACAUUUUCAGUGAUCAGUUCAUAGCUGACGUCUUCUUGAUGGAACGUGAACCAUUGUGAGGCUGAAACAAUGACAGGCUUGAGCAAAAUUGUGUUAGGUGUCUGGAACAAGUGAAUCACGCUAAUAAUAACUGGAACAAAUAUAACACUAGCUGAGUUAGGAAAAAGAACCAGCUGGCGUGUACGAACCAGCUACCCCAAUAGUGACGAUAGCUGACGUGUGGUUAACCAGCUGAGAAAGAAGUUAAUACAAGAUGAUGGCUGUCGUAGCUGCAAGUAGUGUGAGGUGGUUGGUGGUGACGGCUGUGGUGGGCAUCGCAUUGGGUACUACUCUACAGAAGGGAAUGACCCACGUGUGUGAGUACCAGCAGGAGGAGAGAGUCAAGGUACAGAUGCCUACCGUCCACGCCUUCACCGCCACCGUCAGGGUAUACCGUCCAGGAUGCUACACCAACGCCCCCGCCUGUGUUAACUACGAGAGGAGGACACUUUACCGCACCGUGUACCAGGACCAAUCACAGACCAACACCCGCACCGUCUUGGCCUGCUGUCCCGGCUGGUCCACACAGAAGGAGAGGGGGAAGGAUAGUGAACAAGGAAAGACGGACGAUACAGACGAUGGAGGAUGUUCAGUGCGGACGAAAACAUCAACAAACAGUACUGGACAAAUAACACAAGAUGGUGAGAUCUAUUACCUGGUCGAUAACUCACAAGAUAACAACGCCAACCGGUCUGAUGGCGAGGGAAGCAAGAAACAACUGCUCGACGCGCCAGAAAGUGAUGAGGAAGAUAAAGUCUCUACAGUUCAGUCAGAUCAUUCACAUCGGGGGAAAAAUCAUAACAAAGAUGUCAACAGAGAAAAGGGUAUAUCAGAGUAUACUAAUGAUGAACCGAGUAUACGUGACGUGGCUGAAGGAGGAAAGUCUUCUCCGUCUGUCUUCCGUCGGGAGUCUGAAGUGAACACACACCAGCGUCCCUCCUCACUCACGGCCAACAGACGCCGCUGGAACGAACACCACCACACUCAAUCUUCCCUCACUGACACGACAACACCAAGUACUCGUCGUGCUCAUCGUCGUCGCCAUAGAGGACGAUCACCUUCCAGUCGAGACGAGGACGUGACCGUAGAAACGACCUACACGUCAGGCAGGAAUGGAUAUCGUCACCGUUACAACAACAACGAGACGAAGUUUGACGCCUACAGCUACACCAUCAUUAUGACAGAUGGGAAGAAGAACGGGAGGAGGCGUGAAGAAGAGACAAAGAAGGAACAAGUGUCACGCCGGGAGGAGAACAUUGAUGCCUACCUUGGCAAGUCCUAUGCUGCGUGUGGCCGCAUCUUCUGCUACAACGGUGGCCGCUGUGUCUACAACCGCUGCAUCUGUCCCCGAGGUUACUACGGCUCCCGCUGCCAGUAUGAUAGAGACGAGUGUCGAGAGAACAAUGGCGGCUGUGACCAGACUUGCAAAAAUUCUGUGGGCUCCUUCAUGUGUUGCUGCAGCCCCGGCUACAGGCUCCUGCCCGACAACCGCUCCUGCCAAGACGUGGACGAGUGUGACUACCACAACGGCGGGUGCUCCCACGAGUGUGUCAACACGGUGGGCUCCUACCAGUGUCGAUGCGGCUCUAACCAACGUCUCCUCCCAGACGGCCGCACUUGCAUAGGUGAGGACCUCUGUAGUGUGAGGAAUGGUGGCUGUGACCACGUCUGCAACGACUCAUCCAGGCAGGUCAUCUGUUCCUGCCAGCCCGGAUACCGUCUACAGCGCGACAGACGGACAUGUGAGGCAGUGGAUCCCUGUUCUGAGAAUAACGGUGGCUGUUACGACCGCUGCCAUGUUGAGCAAAGGCAGGCACGUUGUUCCUGCCGGCGAGGUUUCAAAUUGGCUGACGACCAAGUGUCCUGUGUUGAUCUGGAUGAAUGCCAAAUACCCGAAACUUGCAGCCAUCAGUGUCAAAACACUUGGGGGUCCUACCAGUGCCUCUGUAACCCCGGCUACCAGCUGGGCACUGACCACAAGUCCUGUUUUAUGAUCGACAUGGAAGUGAUUAAUUCAUGCUUGGAAAACAACGGCGGCUGUCAACACAUGUGUCGUCAUGGUCCAGGUGGGGCCGUUUGCACCUGUCAUCCAGGCUAUCUGCUGCAGCCUGAUCGUCGUACUUGUCAGGACGAGGAUGAAUGUGAAGCGAGAACCCACCGAUGCCAGCAGGAGUGUGUCAACACCGCUGGCGGCUACGCCUGUGCCUGCACCCAGGGCUACAUUCUCAGUUCCGACACUUUUACCUGCGUCGAUGUGGACGAGUGUGAGCGAGAGAACGGCGGGUGUGAGCACGAGUGUCGCAACACCCAGGGCUCCUUUGUCUGUUCCUGCCGCAGUGGUUAUAACCUCAUUGAUUUCAACCACUGCGAGAUAGUGGACUACCAGUACACGGACGACUACUUGGGUCAGAGCUCUCGUGGGGACCUGGACUUGGGGACGGCGCUGGAGGACGACUUCACGGUGCCUGAGGACACGUCGGCCAAGACACGUGACACAUGGGAGGACAUUACGUAUGCCGAGUACUCAAAAUUUCAUACUGUCCACACGCGCUGUGUUCCUGGACACUUUGGGCCCAACUGCUCGCUGACAUGUGCUGACUGUCCCGGCCAAUGUGACACGUCGGGGUGCCUGUGUACCCCCGGCAGGACUGGCCCCACCUGCUCACUCACCUGCCCUCCCGGCUUCUACGGCACAGGUUGUAACGAGGUGUGUAGAUGCGAGAAUGAUGGCACCUGUGACCCCAUGACCGGCAACUGUACCUGUCCACCAGGUGUGUCCGGUGACCUGUGCGAAGAUGGAUGUCCUGCUGGGUACUAUGGCAGUAAGUGUGAGCGGCGGUGCCCCAUGAUGUGCCCCAACAUGCGCUGCAACAGAGUCUUCGGUUUCUGUGAGUGUGAUCCAGGACGCUUCGGGCCCAAGUGUAACAUGCCCUGCCCGGCCCUCACCUGGGGCCCUAACUGCCGCCAUCAGUGCCAGUGCCAGGCUCGCACCACUGCCCGAUGCCACGCCGAAAGUGGCGUGUGUGAGUGCAGCCCGGGCUACGUUGGCUCUGACUGUUCCCAGGAAUGUCUACCCGGCCGUUGGGGUGCUGGCUGUCUACACGAGUGCCAGUGUGCCAGCGGUGCCACUUGCCACCCUGCCACAGGCGUCUGUUUCCAGGACUGUCCACCGGGUUUCACAGGAUCCGACUGUACCAUACCAUGUGAGGCUGGUCACUAUGGUCCGGGAUGUAUGAAGACCUGUAUGUGUGGACUACGGCCAUGUGACCCGGCCACUGGUGUCUGUGUCUGUCCUGCCGGCACACACGGCGCUAACUGUCUCCAGCAUUGUCCUGAGGGUCGAUGGGGCCAGAGUUGCCAGCAGAAGUGCCAGUGUCAAAAUGGUGCCACUUGUGACCGUGUUAGCGGGGAAUGUCACUGCCCAUCAGGAUUUGUCGGUCCAGCGUGUGAGUCACCGUGUCCUGCUGGCAGGUUUGGUGUGGACUGUAGUGAGACCUGCAACUGCCUCAAUGGUGCCUCCUGCCACCACCUCACCAGCAGGUGCGAGUGUUUGCCAGGGUUUACGGGUGCAAGUUGUGGGCAGCCAUGUCCUUUAGGGAGGUUCGGUCAAGACUGUGUACAUGUGUGUCACUGCGACAAUAACGGAGGCUGUGACCGUGUGACCGGCGAGUGUGCUUGUGCUCCUGGCUGGCGAGGACCUCAGUGUAAACUCCCGUGUGAAGCCGCCAGCUACGGGUCUGGUUGUGCUAUGAACUGCAGCUGUGCCAACGACGCCAAGUGUGACCACAUCUCUGGCGCCUGCACGUGCCAGCCAGGUUGGCGAGGCACCUUCUGUUCACGACCGUGCCCUGAUGGGUUCUGGGGGCUGGACUGCCGACAUCACUGUAACUGUGAUACUGGUGCCACUUGUGACCCUGCCACGGGUGUCUGCGUCUGCCCUCCCGGCAAGCAUAGUCAACACUGCUCCAAGACUUGUUCAGCUGAUCGCUGGGGUAGUGACUGUCGGAAUCUAUGUCUUUGCCACAACGGGGGCAUCUGUGACCGUGUGUCUGGUGCCUGUGUGUGCCCCCCAGGACACACUGGUGCUACCUGCCAGGACAGAUGUCCGAAAGGAACCUAUGGCAGCGGUUGUCAGCACACCUGUUUGUGUCAGCACGGUUCUAGCUGUCAGCAUGACACCGGUGCCUGUGUGUGUUCCCCAGGCUUCUAUGGCACUUAUUGUGAAACUGCUUGUGAGUCAGGCAGGUAUGGCUCCGGGUGUGUGCUGGAGUGUCAUUGUCAACACGGUGGCCAAUGUGAUCCUGUCACGGGGGCCUGCAAGUGUACCCCAGGCUGGCGCGGCCAACACUGCCACAAACCCUGCCUUAAAGGUUUCUGGGGUGACGGAUGCCAGCUGGUGUGUGACUGUGAACAUGGUAGCGCCUGUCACCACAUCACUGGAGACUGCCAGUGCCCACGUGGCCUCAUGGGUGACAAAUGCCAGUUUAUCUGUGCUCGUGGGUUCUUUGGGAAUGAUUGUGAGGAGGUGUGUAGGUGUGAGGAAGACCAGCCAUGUGACCACGUGACUGGCGCCUGCAACUGUCCUCCCGGCCGCCAAGGACAGCAGUGUCAUGAGUACUGUGCUGAGGGGCAAUGGGGAGAGGAGUGCCACCAGGAGUGCCAAUGUGCCAGGUCGGCCCUGUGUGACCCGGCCAAUGGCAAGUGUUUCUGUCCGGCGGGUCUUCGUGGUCGAAAGUGUCGAAGAGGCUGUCCGAGAGGUAGAUAUGGCGUCGACUGCAAGCAGAGGUGUAAGUGUGAGAACAGAGGGACGUGUGACCCAGUGAGUGGCCAGUGUCAGUGUCGCGAUGGUUACUACGGCCCCACCUGCUCCCUUCCCUGCCCCACCAACACCUUUGGCUCUGGCUGUAACCAGACGUGUGAGUGUGAGCACAAGGGUGUCUGCACCAAGUCUGGAGAGUGUCAGUGUCCAGCAGGGUACACAGGUUCCAGCUGUCAGACCUCAUGCCCUGAUCAGAACUGGGGCCUCCACUGUGCCCUCAAGUGCCACUGCAAAAACGACGCCAUCUGUCAUCCAGAGACGGGGGAGUGUCAGUGUGGGUUAGGAUGGACUGGGAUAGACUGCAGUCAGGAGUGCAGCCCGGGCCGCUAUGGUCCCAACUGUCAGCUGGACUGUGCUUGUCAUCACAAUGUGUCGUGUGACCGCUUCUCUGGAUGUUGUCAGUGUGGCCCUGGCAGUUAUGGCCGCUACUGUGAACUGGAGUGCCCAUCAGGGUUCUAUGGCUUAUACUGUGCUGGUGUGUGUGACUGCCACAACGGUGCCACCUGUGACCCACAUACUGGCCAGUGCCGCUGUGCGCCAGGCUUUACGGGUGACAGAUGCACUGACACCUGCCUCCCAGGAAAGUUUGGUGUCCAUUGUCGGGAGGAAUGCCAAUGUGGGCAGUACCCUUGUCACAGAGGGACUGGCGAGUGUCAAUGUCCGCCCGGCACCAAGGCAAGAAAUUGUGCUAUGCCAUGUGGGACAGGCAGGUAUGGCAGAGGGUGUGAGCAGGUGUGUGAGUGUCACAACGGAGGCAGCUGUCAUCCCGCCACUGGCAACUGCUCCUGCACCCCUGGCUGGCUAGGUCCCAAGUGCACGGAGAAGGACGUCUCAUUCAUCACAGCGAGUGAGCAGCGAGACAGAGCGGACAUCCCCGUCGAGUUGAGCUGAUGAUGAUUCUUUUGAGUAGGAGACAAGCCCAUUAUGUCAUCACGAACAUAAAAAGAUUUUGGAUCCGCGGAGAAGAUCCAAAAGAGCUAAAUCAGUGAUCACGGAGCCAUGUUAUGGUGACUCACUGGCAAGGUACCUAUUGUGGAUGAUGG